AAGUAUUCCUAUGAAAAUGUUUUAAUAUAUGUUAAUUAGUGAAUAAGAAAAUUAAGAAUUUUAAGCGGCAUAAAAUAAUGGAAACGAUGCCACGCAAAAGAAAACCGUUGAUCGUUCAUAGGCGGCAUUGCUUUGGAAUUUGGCAGAGUUUGAAAUUUGGAGGUCUGCAAAAAACAGGGAGGUAGAUGAUGCUGUUCAUCGAAGAAAGAAAUGUGCUAAUGGGGAAGAAUUUAUUUACUAUAAUUGUAAUAGAAGUGAUUCAAAAGGAUAUGUCAGUACAUGUUUGCAACGGAAUUUAAAGUCUAAAGGAAGCAUUCGUAUGCAAGGAAUUUGUCCAUCAAGAAUAAUAGUUAAAAUUAGUUUAAUAUACACGCGUCCCGUAGUUAUUCUCUUUUUUGCUAAGUUUUACUGAGAUCAAAUUGACCUAUAUAAGUAAUUUUUGUUACAGUAUUUGUAAAGUUUGUUCUAGUGAAUAGUUAACUUGAAAUUCAGGUCUAGCUUCUAAGUUUCAAGUAAUUAGAACAUUAAAGAUAGUCAAUGGAUUCCCAUUGUAUUCCGAUAUACUGAUAUACGUACAUACCUACAAUAAUUAUAACAAUACAUGGGAAUUUUUUGGCCGUCUCGUCGCAUCGCACACCUGUAGAAUAUCGAACUGUAGUGCAGUGGUUUUUGGUUUUCAAGGUAUUUAUUUUGGUUAACUCUAGUGCGGUAUAUUUGGUUUUUUGGUUCGAUAUGCCUUCUUCAUCAGACGAUUGUGAUAUUUGCCGAAGAAUGUGGGAGACAACGAUGAAGCUCUCUGUUGUGACCAUUGUGAAAAAUGGUCACACAGAGAGUGUUUAAAGUUAAGUAAAACGGCUUUCAAGAAGGUGGAGCGAUCUAAUUCCUUAUGGAAAUGUAAUAAAUGUUCAAACCCGUCCAGAGAUGCUACAGAGUCUAAAAACACAUAUUCAAUAGCCAACGUAAUGGCUAAGCUCUCAGAAAUGGAAAUUAAAUUUAACAAGCUAUUUGAUAAAUAUGAAGAGCAGGUUAAUAUCAAUGCAGAACUUAAAAAAGAAAUCUAUAUCAUAAAGAGGCAGUUGAAUAAAAGAGAGCAACAUGAAUUAAAGAAUAAUGUUGUUAUACACGGAGUUCCCUUUAAAAAUAAUGAAAAUGUCGCUGAGAUUGUCAAGAAAAUUGCUAAUGUACUAAAAGUCCCUCAUAAUAAAGUCCAGAAAGCCUAUAGAUUAGGAUUAGGCAAGAGAGAAGUUCGUUACCAAUUAAAGUUGUUUUUGAUGAUCCAGAGCAAAAAAAAGAAUGGAUGAUGAAUAAAAAAAACACAACUGUAACGACUGAUAAAAUAAUUGGACAAGUUAAUCAGCCGGAACCUAUAUAUAUAAAUCAUGACCUCACAAAACAAAACUUUGAACUGUUUAAAAAGGCGAAACAAUUUAAAAAUUCUAAUGGUUAUAAGUAUUUGUGGGUUGGCCAAGAUGGAAGUAUUUUGAUGCGUAAAACUGAUUGACAGUAGUAAAGUGUGUAAUUGGAUUUGUAUUGCUGUGGGUAAUAAAGAUCUUAAAAUUAGUAUUAUAUAUAGACCUCCACAAUACCAAACUAACGAUUUUCUAAAAGAAUUUGAACAAAUAAUAAAUAAAUAUUCAUCUAAUCAUAUUAUUGUAGGAGACAUGAAUGUUGAUUUACUCGAAU
rnacentral:lncRNA from 1 species